ensembl:snoRNA SNORA63 Small nucleolar RNA SNORA63
AUGCAGGUACAGUUACAAUAUAACUGAAGUGUUCUAUUGUUGUUCCCCCUGCUGAAAGCAUUUGAUACAUUACUAUCUCUGUCUAACUAUUCUAUAGUAAGACAGAGACGCUUGGUGUCAAACAU